CAACUCUAGGGGGCAUCACUCACUUAUUAAUCUAUGUGAAUGAUGCCUUUCAAAGUUGAGC
rnacentral:miRNA from 1 species